rnacentral:lncRNA from 1 species
GCACAAGCAUGGUCAGCUGUGGGCGUCGCCCUUAGUUCCCUUUUCUGUAGAUGCCCUGGAAUCAGAGGCAUGUGAGAACGGAACUUGUGGUGAAGACUACCUUGCCACAGAAGGUCCCCACCCCUCUUACCUUCCGCCGGACCCAGUUGUAACUAGGUGGUGUGUGGUAAAUAUGUACAGCGCACUGGGCAUUGCCACACCAGUAUCUUCAGUGGAAUGAACCGGAAUUUACAAUUCACACCUCUUUUGAAAUGUGAUGAAGCAAUGCAGAAGUCAGCAAUGGGAUGAGCACAUUUUCUGUACUGUAUUGCACUCUUUUGCACAAUGUGUAAGAACGCAGCACAAGAAACCCACAAGAGAAGGAAACGGAACAUCAGAGACGGCAGGCUCAAGAUAAAGGCAGACCUGAGCGCCCCACCUGGCAAUGUCCGCCUUUUUUCAGUUGUUCUCAUCUCCAAGCCUCUGCUGCUUUCUCUUUCCUGUAUCAUUCCUUUCUAUUAUCCAUCCACACUCUGCUCACCCAGCCAACCAUCCACCCAUCCAUCCAUCCACUCAUCCAUCCAUCCAUCCAUCCAUCCAUCCAUCACCCAUCCAUCUAUCCAUCCCCCUGCCUAGGCCCCCAACACGCUAGCUGCUGCUGAUACAAAUUCAGAGUGAGGUGCUAGUUCCUGGGUGGGGGUGCUGACUUGCAGUCUGUACUGAUUGCAUGGUGCAAAUACUCUCAAGUUACUAACAUGACAUUAUUGAACACAAAGCUGUGCAGUAGCACACCACCAUACAGAUGUGACAGAAAUGAUCUCCAAUGCACAAAUUAUAGUAAAAUACAU